GUUUCCGGUGUGUCUCCCAGGGCUAUGGCCCCGGCUGGCUCCGGGAAGGUCACCGACGUCAGAAGUCAGAGACGUCACCGGGCACAGACAGCUGAGGCCAAGACGGUGGCUGCAAAGGGGGAAGCUUUUUAUAGCCCGGCCUGGGAGGAAACACUGAUAACCAGGGGAGACCUGCCCACGUGGCUGUCUGUCUGCUUCGCUCUGUUGGGAAAACUCUCGCCCUGCUUCUUUGAGAGCCUCCUGGGGCCUGCCUUAUCUUGCCCAGCUGCGGGACAUCCAGUCUCUAGCCAGCGACCUGACAUCUGGAGACACCAAGUAUCAUCGUAUUUCACCAAUAGGGAAAAGUGGGAAGGAGCAGCUAGGAGAGAGACCCAGAAGUACCAGCAAGAGGAAAGACGAGGAAUGGAGUGUCCCAGAGAGGUCAGCGAUACAGGGAGAUCAGCGAGGUUGAAGGUUCCUCAUCUGAAAAGAAGGAUACAGAGUUGUGAAGAUUCAAUGAGACAAUAGGCAUAGAAAGCACAUGCAUAGCCAUCACUGAUCAUUUCUAUGUGUUGGACACUAUAUUAAGUGAUUCAUAUUUUUAAAAAAAUUAUUAAGCUUAAUUUUAUGUAUUUAUGGACUUCGCUGUGACAUCUCAACGCAUAUAUACAAUGUGUGCUUCUCAAAACAAGCACCUUCCAUCUUUGGUGGUCAGUUCUCACACCCCAGUUUUUCCUGAAAAAGGUUGGAGCUUCAAUUAACACAGGACAUUGGCAGUGGUGCCAUGACACAGAAGCAGAAGAAGCAUUCAUGACCACUGACCUGGAACCAGAUUCCAUAAUGUGGUCCCGUGUUUAAGGACUGAGUGGUCCCCAUUGGACAGCAGCAUACGCGGUUACCUUCAUUUCUCAUGACUUCUGUGGAAGUUGCUCUUCCAAGGGCCUUCAUGGACACCAAAACCUACUUCUAUCCUCAUCAUCUCAGAACUGAAAACAUUUUUUAUAUGCAGGUUUUCCCCAAGCAUCACAUCUGAGAACAGCAUUGCUCUCAACUGCCUGUAAGACUUGACUCUCACUUCUGAGAAAUACAAGUACAUAAAGAGACGUAUGUGACCACUUAUGAUUCCUUAGAAACAAGAACAACUGCCAGAUCAGAGGUGAAGAAUGAUGUCAGUAUUUUGUGAGCCAGAAUCAUGCCCAAGCUGAGCCUCGGAGAUGGAGGCAUGAAGGAGCAAUCAAGAGAAAACAGAGGAACCUGCUCUGUAAAGAAAACAGAACGGAUGGUGGAGGCUAGAAACUGCAAGGUCUGAGACCAGGAGCCAUAGACUUCCCAGUUCUCAGCGGGAAUGGCUUGCCCUCAUUGGCCUUCAUUUGUGUUUUCAUUCCCUUGUAUCCUUUCUCUUCUCAUUAAAAUUCUGAGUGGGUCUCUGUUCCUUGACAUGCCAUAAUUCACCAAAAUCUAUAGAUGCCAGUUAUUUAAUCUUACAGUGCAGGGCAGGGACUGGCCCUGUGGCAUUGUAGGUUAAGCCUCUGCCUGAGGGGCUGGCAUCCCAUAUGGGCGCCAGUUCGAGUCCCAGCUGUUUCACUUCCAAUCUAGCACCCUGAGAUGGCCUGGGAAAGCAGUAGAAGAUGGCCCAAGUGCUUGGGCCCCUGCACACAUGUGGGAGACUCUGAGGAAGCUCCUGACCCCUGGUUUCAGAUCAGCUCAGCUCCAGCCAUUGCAGCCAUCUGGGGAGUGAACAAGCAGAUGGACAACCUCUCUCUCUGUCUCUCCUUCUCUUUUUCUGUAACUCUGACUCCAAAAAAAACAAAUAAAUAUUAAAAAAAAAAAACUCAUAGUGCAACUCCUGUCCAGGUGACUCUAUCAGUAAGGGCCCCUACAGCAAAUAUGUAGACGCAAACUCAACUUCGACAACUUGAAGAUUUAUAGUAACAGUUUGCAGAAAUGUGAGAUAGAAUGGAGCUGCAAGGGGUAGUACAGUGACCCAGGAGAAUUAACUGGUUUACCACACCUGGGCCUGCAAGGCUGUAUAGGGAAGGAGGCGUCUCAUGCAGAGAAAUGCCUAGAGUAGGGGCAAUGACUUAGUUCAGGGAACACAGCCAGCCUAAGGCAACCUCACUGGGAAGGGUUAGGGGAAAUCCAUCCCAACCGCAGUCUCCUCCCUCCAGAGUCCUCCUAGGGCUCCUCAUUGGCUGAGGCCCUCAGAAGCCACAGAGUUCAAAGAAGAUGACUGAUGUGUCCAUACAGAGGAACUUCAAAAGUUUCAUAGAGGGGCCAGCACUGUGGCAUAGAGGGUUAAGCCAC